GACGAACGCUGGCGGCGUGCCUAAUACAUGCGAGUAGAACGCUGAAGGAGGAGCUUGCUCUUCUGGAUGAGUUGCGAACGGGUGAGUAACGCGUAGGUAACCUGCCUGGUAGCGGGGGAUAACUAUUGGAAACGAUAGCUAAUACCGCAUAAGAGUAGAUGUUGCAUGACAUUUACUUAAAAGGUGCAAUUGCAUCACUACCAGAUGGACCUGCGUUGUAUUAGCUAGUUGGUGGGGUAACGGCUUACCAAGGCGACGAUACAUAGCCGACCUGAGAGGGGGAUCGGCCACACUGGGACUGAGACACGGCCCAGACUCCUACGGGAGGCAGCAGUAGGGAAUCUUCGGCAAUGGACGGAAGUCUGACCGAGCAACGCCGCGGGAGUGAAGAAGGUUUUCGGAUCGUAAAGCUCUGUUGUAAGAGAAGAACGAGUGUGAGAGUGGAAAGUUCACACUGUGACGGUAUCUUACCAGAAAGGGACGGCUAACUACGUG
rnacentral:rRNA from 1 species